rnacentral:rRNA from 1 species
AGUGAACGCUGGCGGUAGGUCUAACACAUGCAAGUCGAACGGCAGCACAGUAAGAGCUUGCUCUUACGGGUGGCGAGUGGCGUACGGGUGAGGAAUACAUCGGAAUCUACUUUUUCGUGGGGGAUAACGUAGGGAAACUUACGCUAAUACCGCAUACGCCCUACGGGUGAAAGCAGGGGAUCUUCGGACCUUGCGCGAUUGAAUGAGCCGAUGUCGGAUUAGCUAGUUGGCGGGGUAACGGCCCACCAAGGCGACGAUCCGUAGCUGGUCUGAGAGGAUGAUCAGCCACACUGGAACUGAGACACGGUCCAGACUCCUACGGGAGGCAGCAGUGGGGAAUAUUGGACAAUGGGCGCAAGCCUGAUCCAGCCAUACCGCGUGGGUGAAGAAGGCCUUCGGGUUGUAAAGCCCUUUUGUUGGGAAAGAAAAGCAGCAGGUUAAUACCCCGCUGUUCUGACGGUACCCAAAGAAUAAGCACCGGCUAACUUCGUG